rnacentral:rRNA from 1 species
UACGUAGGUGGCGAGCGUUGUCCGGAUUUACUGGGUGUAAAGGGCGUGUAGGCGGGGAUGUAAGUCAGAUGUGAAAUACCGAGGCUUAACUUCGGGGGUGCAUCUGAAACUAUGUUUCUUGAGUACUGGAGAGGGAAGCGGAAUUCCUAGUGUAGCGGUGAAAUGCGUAGAUAUUAGGAGGAACACCAGUGGCGAAGGCGGCUUCCUGGACAGUAACUGACGCUGAGGCGCGAAAGCGUGGGUAGCGAACAGGAUUAGAUACC